CCUACGGGUGGCAGCAGUGGGGAAUCUUGGGCAAUGGGCGCAAGCCUGACCCAGCAACGCCGCGUGAAGGAAGAAGGCUUUCGGGUUGUAAACUUCUUUUCUGAGGGACGAAGAAAGUGACGGUACCUCAGGAAUAAGCCACGGCUAACUACGUGCCAGCAGCCGCGGGAAUACGUAGGUGGCAAGCGUUAUCCGGAUUUAUUGGGUGUAAAGGGCGUGUAGGCGGGAAAGCAAGUCAGAUGUGAAAACUUGGGGCUCAACCGUAAGCGUGCAUUUGAUACUGUUUUUCUUGAGUGCUGGAGAGGCAAGCGGAAUUCCGUGUGUAGCGGUGAAAUGCGUAGAUAUACGGAGGAACACCAGUGGCGAAGGCGGAUUGCUGGACAGUAACUGACGCUGAGGCGCGAAAGCGUGGGGAGCAAACAGGAUUAGAUACCCGAGUAGUC
rnacentral:rRNA from 1 species